CAGGAAUCCUGUGUAUAGCCAAAGACAAAUUAGUUCAAUUAAGAAAACUGAGAACAAUCCUGAGAGAGAUUGGUGAGUGUACAGCUCAGUGAAGAAGAGGAAGGAGUGCUGGUUCUGCAGUUUGGAAAUCCUGUGAUUAAAAACACAGGAAACUCUGGUUGGAAAAUCAUAUCCCUUCAUGCCGUGGUCUGCACAAACCCAGUGGUAUCUGGAUUAAUCCAAAGACGGACCAUCAAAGCCUCAACAGUGGCUGAUGAUGAUUGAAACAGACAAGAGACAUUGUCCCACCUCCUGAUAACUCGUGGUAGUUUAUAUUUUGAAAAGUUAUUGGAGUGUAGAAAUGCCACAGGAAAGAUACCAGAAUUGCAUUUAGUCCCAGAAGACAACCAGGCGUUUUGAAAAUAUUAAAAUGAUAAACAUGCAAAGACUGAAAAUCUGAACCAAAAAUAGAAAAAAGAUGCAAGAAGACAGCAGGUUCAUCAACAUCUGCUGGAAGAAAAGACAAUUUAAUAUUAUGCAAAUACAACUGAAAACAUAGGAUUGCUGCAAGUCAUGUCUGGUUUGCUGAUUUGACUUCCCUUCAAGUGGAACACUGCACAUGGCAUGCUAAGUUACCAUAGAGUAUUCCCUACUGCAGUGUCAUCUUUUGAAUGUUGCUUGAUAUGAGAAGCCUUAGAGUUUAAACACUCUUCAGAUGGAUUUCCUAAAGAUGGUGGUUCUCAAUCCGGAUCAUCGCACAGUUGGCUGCAUUCACUUACAUGAUUGCUCCUGCUUAAGGUCAUGUAUAAUUACUCAUGAAAGUGCUCUACCUGGAUUCAUGCCGCUGGGAGAAACCUUGCUACUAGUGGUAAGAUCUUUAGCACUGCUGCAACUACUUAAAGGGUUGUAGUAAUCCCUAAAAGGCCAGCUUUCUUUUAGAAACCCUACAUUCCCUUCAUUCUUAUUUAUUUUCCUCACCCCUCCCCUUCAUUGGCAUCCAUUUCUCCUCUUGGACUAAAGAAGAGUUGUAAUAAAAUGGGAGAGAGAAUGAAUGGGAAAUGAACAGCACCGAACAAUAACACAUAAUUGUGUGCUUGGUCUCAGGCUAUUGACAAAACUGACAAGGAACACUUUUUAUGCAGGCCAAAGUGCCCGAGGAGAUGAUAGUGCGUCUUCAGUUUGAAACCUGACUGGUGUUAUGGGUGUAGUGUUCUCACAAUGGUGUUAAGUAGGGAGUUCCAGGAGAUGUGCCAAUGUGGCAUCGAGGAAGAAUUGACAGUGUUACAUUUCCUCGUCAGGAUGGUGAAAAACUUGGAUUGUAAAUUGGAGAUAAUAGUGAUAAUGCUCCUUUCAUUCAUCAUGGUGGAGGAGGUAUCAGAAGACAGAGGUGCUACUGAAAUAAAUUUGAGUUGUUUCAAACUGUUACAUACUUUUGUUUUCAUCAAUCUCAUAUCAAAUGAAGAAGUGAACAUCCGUCCAAGGUAUCAUAGGAUCAGGAGGUGUGAACUUUCGCUCUGUCAGAGUAUUACCACUUUUGAUUUGGUAAGUGAUGUGUUUAAGCCUCAGUCCAGUUGUCCCAGCAAGUUGAUUUGACAGUCUAUGCCAUGGAGCACUGGGUUGGCAUCCAAAGGGAUCUAGUGGCUAAUAGCCAUUGAAAUAGCCUCCUUCCACUGUCAUCACAGCAAAAGUCAGAGCUCUCUCCUCUAACCACCAAGCUGAUAUCAAAUGGGAUACACAUGUCUGAUGGAAUAUUAUGAAUACAAUUCCCCAACUUCCAAUAUAACUGCUUGUUAUAGUAAGUGGUAAGGGCUUUUAUUAAAGCACACAAUUUGAAGGAUAACUGUUGGAUGCAAUGAGUGGAGAGAUGAGUCUUCCUGUGGCUUGAGAGAGAGAAGCAAAGAUGGAGGAGAAAAACAACUUAAGUCAUCUGAGUAUCUUAUUUCUUGUGGGUAAUUAACUGUACUUGUAUGGAGUAUAUCAAUAACAUGGAGCUAAAUUUUAUCAAAUAUCAGCAAAAUGUCAAUUUCAGGGAGUUUUGUGGAGUGUUCCUGUCCAUAAGCUUUAGCCCGUCUUACGCAAUUCUCUCUUCAACUUAUUGUGCUUGCUCCAUGCUUCUAUGGUGCUCAAUUCGUACUACUUUGCGCCAACUAGUGUCAGAAGCAAUCACCGCUGCCGGGGCCAUGAUGGGAUUUUAUCACCAGCAGCAUAUUUAAGAGCCAACUGUGCACAAGAUCAAUCAUUGUCAGCCAUAAUUAGUCCUUCACAGCGAACAUAGAAGGAGGGAAAUAAGAAAAAAGGCAAGCUUCGGAGGGAACUGAUGUGGCACGGGUGGCACGGGUGACACUUGAUUACAAGCUCAAUGAAUUGCUAUUCCACAUCAUCACCUAUCUCAUCUGCUGCCAUAUCAACUGCAAUUAAAAGAAUCAAGUUAUACAGGCUACUGGUCUCCAAUGCCAUAUCAUGUUAGAACCCUGCCUAGAGAAGUGUUAUUCUUUGCCCAAUGCUCAACAUAGCAUAACAUCUUCUCAUUGAACAAUGUUCAUUGUUCGUGUUUUGGAAAGCCUUCCAACAAUUGAAAACAUUGACUUUUAUCGAACGUCUGAAAAAAAUGAAUGAAAUAAAGGCUGCAUUUCCAUCUGGGAAUAAACUGAGGAUUUCUUUUGGUGCAAUAACGAAUUUACAAUCAAUUUACAUAAUUGAGCUCAGAUCUGUUGGAACCAAGUGUCAAUUAAGUCCUGUCUGGCUUGUUGUGCCCAAUGUUCUCCACCCUGUUAUGAUGAAGGUGAUGUCACUCCAGAGCUGCCAUUCUCCCAAAUCGUCAGUGUCUCGAAAAUUCCCUUUUUGCCUGCUCUAGUUGCGCAGAGCACAUUAUGCAAGGAGUAUAUGACCCAUUCUGAAUUGUAUUGCAGGAACCACCAGACUGAGUCAAACUUCAGGAUCUCACCUUUAGGAACCCUAUCAUCUGCUCUAUGAUGACUAUAGUGGAAGAAUGGAAUGCAUUGUAUCUACCUUUGGCCUCAGUUGAGGGUUGCAUGAUGGAGCUAACAUUUGUACUUGAAGUGGAUAGCCAUUCUAUCUGCGUAACCAUCCUCAUAAGGCAUCUGGACCUUGAAAUGAGCAGGAACCUCAGAGAUUUCAAGAAUAUAGGCAUCAUUGCAAAUUUCAAUGAUUCAGUACCAAUGAUCACAGGUGACUUGAACAUUGAUGGAAUAUAAACAUUUUCUGUUGCACAAGUUGACCACAUCAUGAUUUGACAUGUGUGCAGUCUAUAGUGCCCUGCAUCUGGGGGAAGCCAAAUCUGUUGGCCAACCUACCACCCAGGCUGCAACACUGACCUCGUCACAGGGAAAUAAGAUGAAAAGGUGUGAUCAGUGUUGCAUCAGUAAUAGUCUUGAAACAUUUGUGGGUCAAGGGUUGUGAGAUCCCACAGAGGGCUCCAAUGGAUUCUUGGAAACAGCCUGUUGCAUAAACAUUUAGCACAGCUCUCACCUGAUGGAUACCAGGGUAGGAUAUCACCUAUGUCUUCAGGUCAUAGGUCCUUCUUCAGCAGAUGGGACCGUUUUGUGACAAUGUCCUGGGACAUCCUUGUCUGUGACAGCAAUGUGCCUUGCUCAUCUGGAGGAACUGCUGUCCGAGACAAUAGAUGCUGGGACUCCUGUACAUCCUCCACCUCCUGAGGAAAUUUCACCUGAGAUCUCUUCAAAAGGAGGUUGUAUGGCAACCACUGGAGGUUGCUGCUGUUCUUGGGCUUGCAAACACACUUACUGCCCCACAAUAUCUCUGCAACUUUGUCGCAAAUGAUGCCAGUGAAGAUAACCCUGCUCUGGCUAGAUCCUCUGGUUAUGAUUUCAAGGAAUCUAUCUGGGAAGUAUCAGAAAUAGGACAGGUUCUUAGUCGUGUGAGGAGGCAGCAGUUACUAGACCAUCAUUUGUGUGUCAUGCAUAGUCCUAGAUAUGGUGGGACAUGAGAUCUCUGUCAAGGAGGAUCAUGGAAUACCUGUAUAUGGACCUUUGACAUAGCACCCUUUAUUCUGACAAAUGCAGCACAAGUCUCGUUGGAAAAAAAACAGUAGGAGAUUGUAAAUGCAGUAGGAUGUCUGAAACUUUGUUGCCACACCCACUCCCUAUUAACACCACAGAGGCAGUGUUAUAUAUUACAGCGUAUUGGCAAACACGUGCCAUUUAAGGUGAGAGCAAAUCAGCUCUGCGCUUUUGUGCAACCUAUGAGAACUUUCAUUGACCUUGUGAAUUGCGGCCCUCGGGUCCCAGAAAUAAUUAUGAUCAAUUUUUAAUGACUAACAACAUGGUGAAUAUUGCUUAUGAUUUCACAAUAAUCCCCUGACUGUCUGCAUGCGAGCUGCAGGACUGACCAUGGCUCACUGCCUGUACAGUGAUGAUAUGGAACCUCUGACACUGGACAACGCAAGCAGCCAAAUUUCCAUGCCCAAACUAUUGGAAAGAGUAAACAUGUUGCUUUGGACUGACUGUGGCAGGACCACUUAACUGGUGACAGUCCCUCUUGAC